CUAUGUACUACUACUUCCUAUGGGACUACUUCCUAUAGGAAGUGCAGUGUCAAUCAGAGUCAGCUUGCGAAAAUGGAAAGAAUUCAAGAUAUUCCAAACAGAGAAAGAUUUAAUGCAAGGAACUGGCUACAAACAUGCCAUAAAUCACUGGAUGGAUAAAAGAAAAAAGAGAGUGGUUCCUGAAGAACACUUAAGAGGAGAAAUGAAACUUAGAAAGGAGGAGGUCAUUUCAACCCCUGUACUUGAACCAAGAAGUCUGAACUAACUGCAAUGUAACUGAAGUCACUGCAUGGCCGGUCCUGGAACCACUGGAGAGGUGCUGAGUGGUGAGUGUUUGUCUUGAAAUGGGAUGGCCGCUGCAGAAGCAAAAUGGACUCUUUUUUCUUUCCAACAUGUCUCACCUUAACAAACUUCAUAGGAGGACAGCUGGCAAUGGAUUUGGGAAUGUAGUUUGCAGGCUUCCAGUCUCAGCAGUUCAGAGCCGAGAAGAAAUAAGUGAAAGAGGCCUGCAGUGAAAGGAAAAAAUAUCUGACGAAUAGGUUCUUUGUGGCACAUACUACUUGUUGGUGAACACAGCUGUCUCUCCCCACAAAGGAACAUUUGUGAUGAUAUUACUGUUGACUAUACCAUCAAAUUCCCAUAAGGAAGUAAAAGUUUGGAUCAAGAACAUUUCAACACAAUGAAAAGUUUCUUCAUAUAAAAAAUGGAUUCAGUAGAUAAUCUCAACUACUUUCUUCAUAUUUUAAAAUGUUAUGGCUCUGGACUCAUUGAAAAUGAACUUUUAUAUACCUUUUGUGAAAUGAGAAGUGAUGCACCAUCUCAAGAUUCGUGCUCUGAUUUAAAAGAAGCUACAGAGAAGCUACACUGUAUCACAGGGGACCUAGGCCAAUAAAGGGUCCACAUCUGAGACUGCGUCAUGUGGAAGGUACAACCACCAUGUUCACGGUGGCAAGGGACAUUUCUCUUUCCUAGCACCAACUAUGCCAGAACCAAGAUUUGAAGAAAAGAUCCAUCUACUACUUAACUCUUCUCAGAGCAUGCCAGCAUACUGACUGGAUAAGAAAGGUCCUGCGUAAGGCUGGUCAAUUUCAAAGAGACAGACAGUUGGAACUACGUGACAACAUUGCAGACAAAAACUGCCAGCCACCAAACAACUGGAGGUUAAUGCCAACUACUCCAGAAUCCGUCCUCUAGAUCCAACCUGUUAUAGAUCUCUUUAUGCUGCAGAAGGCCAAGCAGUAUGGACUUUGACAUGAACCCUCUACACGUCUCUGAAGUAACAAUAUUAAAUCAAACUCAAUAUUCUGUAACUGUGAGAAAAAUAUCUAGGACACAUGAAAAUAUUUUGUGGAUCACAAAAGGGAAAGCUAUAUUUGUUGGGUGAAAAUAUGCAAAUAAUUCUAUUGAAGUGGAUAUCUAAUAAAUUUAAAUGAAUUAUAAAAUGUCUCUGUAAAAUUGCUGGGGG
rnacentral:lncRNA from 1 species